rnacentral:rRNA from 1 species
UGGGGAAUAUUGGACAAUGGGCGAAAGCCUGAUCCAGCCAUGCCGCGUGUGUGAAGAAGGUCUUCGGAUUGUAAAGCACUUUAAGUUGGGAGGAAGGGCAGUAAGCGAGUACCUUGCUGUUUUGACGUUACCGACAGAAUAAGCACCGGCUAACUCUGUGCCAGCAGCCGCGGUAAUACAGAGGGUGCAAGCGUUAAUCGGAAUUACUGGGCGUAAAGCGCGCGUAGGUGGUUCGUUAAGUUGAAUGUGAAAGCCCCGGGCUCAACCUGGGAACUGCAUCCAAAACUGGCGAGCUAGAGUAGGGCAGAGGGUGGUGGAACUUCCUGUGUAGCGGUGAAAUGCGUAGAUAUAGGAAGGAACACCAGUGGCGAAGGCGACCACCUGGGCUCAUACUGACACUGAGGUGCGAAAGCGUGGGGAGCAAACAGG